CAGAAUAGACUGUUAUUGACUCUAAUAGAGUUACAUUUACUACAGUUGGAGUAAAAUGUACUCUAGCAUAUUAGUUAAAAAACAGAGUUAAAAUCACAAGAGUUAAUCAUCCACCCCAUUUUCUCAUUUGGACGCUAUUUUAGAAAUUUCUUGGGAGAUGUUUGCCUAAUUAUUAUUUGGAUAUUAUUCAUAAAAAAUCAAGUGUUUUCUUCUGGUUUAUUCCAAAGUCAUUCGGUAGCUUUAAGAUUUAUUUCUGGACUAGGCUACUAAAAAAUUACUUGCAAGUUUGUAGGCUAGCAUGUGCUACAGUAAAAUAGGCAAAUACUGCUAAGCUAUCACCCAUAAACCAGGCUAUAAACGGAGUCUCUGUUAUCAAGCCUAUAGCUGUUCACAAAGAAUAGUCAAAGCGAACAAACAUUAUAAUAAUAAUAAUAAUUAUUAUUAUUGUAUGUUUGUUACAUGCAAGUGUGUAAGGGCUCAGACAAAUUACUAACUGGCGGAACGUGCCCUCUGGCAUCUCACGUCAGAGACGAACGUUAGUAGCCUAUCACCCACUUCCUUCCAUUUGAGAGAAUGCAGCGACGCGACGGAGCCUGGUUAGAAGAAUCUCUCUGAAGUGCAGUUGAAGGAUGUUGGUGAAAGUUAAAUACCAGGCAGACCAGAUACAUUAAAAUGGUGGAAACUGAUGCCACUCUAGAGGAUUUCUUUAACCAAGUGUUCAUGAAAUUUGAUAUUGAAGCCAAACACCAAGCUGGGCUAAAAUGUAUGAUGAGUUUGGUACAGAAGAUUGACAACUAUGUGUCUGAAGAUGUGGUGAAGGAUCCAAAUUGUGGUGUAUUAAAGCUGAAGCCUGCAGAAGAUGAUGUAGAUGCAUUAUGUGAUUCAGAUGACACCACUGCCUUGUCUCCAAAUAAGCCCAAGGGAGAUGAUGGGGUAGAGUGAGAACAUUUCUAUGAUCCAGCCAGCGGAUCAGGGUACCUGGCCUGACGCAUUAAAACAAUUCAGAGGAAAGCCUCAGGAGCCACAAAGUCCAGCACACAAUGAACAUAAUGGAGGACGAGCUUCUGAAGAUGUGCCCGAGCCAGUCCUGAAUGAAGAACAGCUGAGAGAGGCGGUAUCUCAAAUGAAGCAUUCUUCUGAUGAAGAAGUUGUGCGGCUGAAGGUGAACGUUUGAUUAUCGUCAGAAAAAAAUGGUCCAUGACCCUCAAUCACCUCAUAUGCUUGCAACAUUCUCUCGAUUCGUGGAUGUAAUGGCAUCAGAUUGAGCAAGACUGUGUUACUGUUUGGUGAGAUUUCAGCGAACCUUCUUGAGAGGUGGUCAACUAUGUUCAAAGAGAAGACUAUUAAACAGAGUAAAGGUCUUUCUUCCUCCAGCAUCGAACU